GACGAACGCUGGCGGCGUGCUUAACACAUGCAAGUCGAACGGAAAGGCCCUGCUUUUGUUGGGUGCUCGAGUGGCGAACGGGUGAGUAACACGUGAGUAACCUGCCCUUUACUUUGGGAUAACUUCAGGAAACUGGGGCUAAUACCUGAUAGGAGCUCCUGCUGCAUGGUGGGGUUUGGAAAGUUUCGGCGGUUGGGGAUAGACUCGCGGCUUAUCAGCUUGUUGGUGGGGUAGUGGCUUACCAAGGCUUUGACGGGUAGCCGGCCUGAGAGGGGGACCGGCGACAUGGGGACUAAGAGACGGACCAGAAGCGUACGGGAGGCAGAAGGGGGGAAUAUGGCACAAUGGGCGGAAGCCUGAGGCAGAAGCGCCGGGUGCGGGAUGACGGCCUUCGGGUGAUAAACAGAUUUGGACUGUGACGAAGCGUGAGUGACGGUAAUGGGUAAAGAAGCACCGGCUAACUACGUG
rnacentral:rRNA from 1 species